UACAGAGGGUGCUAGCGUUGUUCGGAAUCAUUGGGCGUAAAGGGCGUGUAGGCGGUUUGUUAAGUCAUGUGUGAAAUCCCUCGGCUCAACCGGGGAACGACGCAUGAAACUGGCAAGCUAGAGUACCAAAGAGGGGGGUGGAAUUCCCGGUGUAGCGGUGAAAUGCGUAGAGAUCGGCAGGAACACCCAGGGAGAAAUCAGCCGCCUGGGCAAGUGCUGACGCUGAGGUGCGAAAGCGUGGGGAGCGAACCGG
rnacentral:rRNA from 1 species